AAAACUGACAACAACGUCUCCUUCUCUACGGAGGUUUGUAGAAAGGCUGUACAAAAAUCUCACAAGAUGUAUUUCUUCUCGUGGACUGGAGUCCCAAGGUGCUUAAGAGCUCUUCAAUUUGUUAAUGGAAAGAAACACCAUUUACACCGGAUGGCUACAAAGCAACCUUAUUCUGGCAGAAGAGCACCACCUUCUUAUGCAUCUUCACCUCCUCUGCUGUUGAAAACUUGUGCUCCUUCUUAUCAUCAUGUCAUUGAACACCUUUUUUUUUCUUUUUUCUUUUUUUUUUUUUGAGACUGAGUCUUGCUCUGCCAUCCAGGCUGGAGUGCAAUGGCACGCUCUUGGCUCACUGCAACCUCCACCUCCCAGGUUCAAGCACCUCCAGCCUCCUGAGUAGCUGGGAUUACAGGCAUGUGCCAUCAUGCCCGGCUAAUUUUUGUACUUUUAGUAGAGACGGGGUUUCACCAUAUUGGCCAGGCUCGUCUCGAACUCCUGACCUCAGGUGAUCCACCCACCUCAGCCUCCCAAAAUGCUAGGAUUACAGGCAUGAGCCACCACACCUGGCCUCACUGAGCACCUUGAUGAUGCCAUCAGAAAGCCACACCUGAUGCCGUGUUCCUGGAAGUAAGAAGGGGAUGGCACGGAGAGCCCCAGAAGAGGAGAAUUGCUGCAGCUGCUGCCGGGAUCCAACGGAACCAAAAAUUCUUAUGAUGGUGCUGGGUUGAAGCAUGAAAUUCAUAUGUAAGAAUGGUACCUUUUGCUCCAGCGUUGGAACAGACUGUGGCUUUUUUUUUUUUUUUCAGUUGAGCAUGAGGUGAAGUAGUUGGCUUAUGUUUUGGGGCCAGGAGUCUCUUGAAACUCUCCACUUACUUGUGCUCAAAGUCCCAGAGGCAUUUAGGAAAUGCGAGGCAUUUAGGAAAUCACAGCCACAUUCACUACAGUCCUCAUUUUGUGGAAUGACCUGGGCUAUUUCUAUUGUUUUAUUUAUCUUGUUUAAAAGAAAAUUACUGAAUGAGUAUAUUUGAAUUCACUUAAGUCAGAUACUGAUAUGAUGUGACCCCACUCACUGUAAGGUCUCAGUUCUCCAGAAAGUUCUAGCCUGGGAAUGCAUUUGGAAAGUAAUCAGCAUGUAGUUUAGUAGUUAAAGCUGUGAGUGUGGAUGUGUUCACCAAGGGGAGUGUGUGUCAAGAGUAAGAGGACGCAGCCUUGGGCAGAGCCUUGGUGAAUACGGAUGUUUAUGGGGCUGGAGAAGGAGGAACCCAAAAAGCAAUCUAAAAAAGGUAUGAGCCUGGAAAGUAACAUGGAGACCAAGGACAAGUGUUUCAAAGAAAAGAGAGUGGUGAAAAGUGUCUAGUACUACAGAAAGAGGUAUUCCCCUAUCUUCUUUAAUUCAGAUAGGCCUGGAGGGCGUCCUUUAGGUUUAACAGCUUCUCCAAAGCGGCCACCAUUGAAAGCCAUAGUGGGGUAGAGAUCAGAUUGCAAAGGAAGGAGCUGGGAAUGGGAGACUAGUUAUUUCAAGAGUUAGAAGUGAGCAUGGAAGGUUACUAGAGAGGGGGUUGUGGACUAAGAAAACGCUUUAAAAAUAAAUAGGGGAGGAAAUUCUUGAGCCUGUUUUUAUGAUGAAGGGGAGAACCAGUUAAAAAGGAGAGCUUAGAAAUAAAAGUGCAUGGUGGUGGAGAUGAUUAAUGGAACAAGGUCCUGGAGGAUACGGGAGGGGACGAUCUGAAGGCCAGGUCCAACAUUUCACCUCGGACUGGCGGAAGGAAUAGGAAAAGCAAAUGUUUUGCAAACCAGGAGCAUGUCAUAUUUGUGUCUUUGCCCCUGUGCAGCAUGGUGCCUGUUUGCUGGAAGGUGAGGGAGGUACAGAUGACUGUGCUGUAGGUGAGGGAUGAAGGGUCAAGUGAGCACUUGCCUCUUUUCAAAGAGGAGCAGUCAAGACCCUCUAUUGAAGGCACCUGAGAAAGUGGUGGGGCUUUGGAGACAGAGUGCAGGUUGGGAGGACCCACUGAAGGAGGUGGAGAGGAGGAGGGAGAAGUAAUUGUGCUGGGGGAAAUCUUGCUAAGAUUGGGGACCAUGAAGUUAGCAGCCAAAUCCAUGGGAUGGGGGUGUCUUCUCCAGGAGUGUGCAGAUGCCCAUGGGUAGGAGUCAAGAAGGCAGCACCUGGCUGGGCAUGGUGGCUCACGCCUGUAAUCCCAGCACUUUGGGAGGCAGAGGCAGGAGGAUCACCUGAGGUCAGGAAUUUGAGACCAGCCUGGCCAACAUGGCAAAACCCCAUCUCUACUAAGAAAAAUACAAAAAUUAGUUGGGCUUGGUGGUGGAUGUCUGUAAUUCCAGCUACUCGGGAGGCUGAGACAGGAGAAUUGCUUGAACCUGGGAGACGGAGGUUGCAAUGAGCCGAGAUCACGCUGUUGCACUCCAGCCUGGGCGACAGAGUGAGACUCCAUCUCAAAUAAAGAAAGAAAGAAGGAAGGAAAGAAGGAAGGAAGGAAGAGAAAGAGAAAGGAAGGAAGGAAGGAAGGAAGGAAGGAAGGAAGGAAGGAAGGAAGGACACGAAAGCAAGCAAGCAGGCAGCACCUAUCAGAAUAAGUCAUCCAUGUGGGAAGGGGGUGAGGGGCUACUCUCUGGCAUUAACUUUCCAUUUCUCCCCCAAAAGCUCAGAGCCUGCCCUGUCCUCAGACACUGAGGUGGAGAGAGCUGAACUCCUCCAGGCUCUCCCUUGGGGAUUUGCAUCCGUUUAGUGACCGUGCUGACCAUCGCCAGCACUUGAACCAGCCUGGGUUGGGGGUUAUGAUUACUGGACUUCUGUGCUGCCCAGUUCCACCACACCCCUACUGUGCCUUUCCUUUUCUUCAGGUUCCUGAGCUCCCUGUAUAUAUCCUAGAAUGGUUAAAAAUGUUAAACUGUCAAUACCAGGUGUUAUUGAAGAUGCAGAGCAACUGGAACACUCAGACACUGCUUGUGGGAAUGUAAAUAGGAACAAACACUUCGAAAAUUCUUUGUCAGUGUUGACUGUAAAUAUACCCAAUGACAGUAAUUCUACUCUGAAAUAUACGCCCAAGAGUAAAUACACUAAAAAAUGAUAUAAGAAUGUGUACAGCAGCAUUAUUCCUAAAAAUAACCCAAGAUUAGAAACAACCUAGAUGUCCAUCAGUGGUAGAAUUGAUAAAUAAAUUUGCUAUGGUCCUGCAGUUGAAUACUAUUCGGUAGAGAAAAUGAGCUACUGCUACACACGAAAAUAUGGAUGCAUCUCACAAACAUAAUGCUGAGUGAGAGAAGAGGGAUGCAACACACAUGCUGUGUGUUGUAAUUAGAGAUAAAUUUCAAAAGCGGGUGAAACUAAUGGUUGGAGUAAGGACUGGGAGGGGACAUGAAGGAAGCUGAUGGGUUACUGAGAAUGUUCUCUAUCUUAAUCUGGGUGGUGGUUAUAUGAGCAUUUUUACAUUUAAAAGUUCAUCAAACUUCAAAAAUUCAUCAAGUAUAUUUAUAGUUUCUGAAUUUUUUUUUUUUUUUUGACAGAGUCUUGCUCUGUUGCCCAGACUGGAGUGCAGUGGUGCGAUCUUAGCUCACUGCAACCUCCGCCUCCCGGGUUCAAGUGAUUCCCUGUCUCAGCCUUCCAAGUAGCUGGGACUAGAGGUACAUGCCACCACACCCGGCUAAUUUUUUGUAUUUUUAGUAGAGACGGGGUUUCACUGUGUUAGCCAGGAUGGUCUCGAUCUCCUGAAUUUGUGAUCUGCCUGCCUCGGCCUCCCAAAGUGCUGGCAUUACAGGCAUGAGCCACCACCCCCAGCCAAUUUCUGAAUUUUUAUAUGUAAAUGUUGAAAAUAUAAUUUCUUAAAAUACUGUGACUGAUUCCAAGUCAGCAUAGACUGUAAUAUGGACUAUGUUAAAUUUUAUAAAUAGCAUUAUUUAAUUAGUUUUGAAUUUAUUAUGCUUAUUUCCCUUUUCAUUUUCUGUGAUUUGAUUUCAUCUUAUUGGACCAUGAAAUACUGAUUGCAGUCAGUUUUAAAUAUGAUUAUUAGGUGGCUGGUAUAAUUUUGUUGGUAUAAAUGGUUCAAAAAUCGAAGAUUACAUUUUGUUUUUUUUUUUUUUUUUUUUGAGACAGAGUUUUGCUCUUUGUUUCCCAGGCUGGAGUGCAAUGGCGCGAUCUCGGCUCACCGCAGCCUCCGCCUCCCGAGUUUAAGGGAUUCUUCUGCCUCAGCCUCCCGAGUAGCUGGGAUUACAGGCAUGCACCAACACACCUGGCUAUUUUUGUAUUUUUAGUGGAGAUGGGGUUUCUCUAUGUUGGUCAGGCUGGUCUUGAACUCUCAACCUCAGGUGAUCCGCCCACCUUGGCCUCCCAAAGCGCUGGGAUUACACACGUGAGCCACCGCGCCUGGCCACAUUUUUUUAAAACAGGUAUUUUUGGUGGUUAAAUAUGAUGGUUAAGUGAAUUUAUUUUCUGAUAAUCUAUAAUUCAAUUAAUUGGAUUAUUGAUCAAUCAAUUUGCCAUUUGUAGUCUACUUAGGCAAACAACAGGAUUGAAUGGCAAAUAUUUAAUCAGAUUGCUCAUUGUGGUAGACUUUUUUUUUUUUUGAGAUGGAAUCUCUCUCUGUCGCCAGGCUGGAGUGCAGUGGCACGAUCUCUGCUCACUGCAACCUCUGCCUCCCGGAUUCAAGUGAUUUCCUGCCUCAGCCUCCUAAGUAGCUGGGACUACAGGUGCCUGCCACCACGCCCAGCUAAUUUUUGUAUUUUUAGUAGAGAUGGGGUUUCACCAUACUGGCCAGGCUGGUCUUGAACUCCUGACCUUGUGAUCCGCCUGCCUCAGCCUUCCAAAGUGUUGGGAUUACAGGCGUGAGCCACCAUGCCUGGCCAUGUAGACAUUGUUUUUGCCAUGCAGCAUCUAUUCCCCGUUUCUGUGACAGCAGCACUCUGUCUUUGCUUUUGUCGGUGCAUUAGUUACCUGUUGCUGUGUCAUAAUAUUAUCACAGAUUCAACAAUAUAUUUGUCAUCUCACAGUCCAUAGGUCAAGAGUCUGGGUGUAGCUUCACUGGGUCCUCUCCAAGGCUACGACAUGGUGGCUAUGGCUGUGUUCUCAUCUGAGGCUUGACUGGGGAAAUAUUUUCUUCCAAACUAACAUGGUCUUUGGCUGAACUCAGUUCCUUGCAGGCCACUGCAAUGAGGGCCUCAUUUUCUUACUGGCUAUUGUCUGGAGGCCAGCCUGAGGUCCUAGAAGCCAUGCUCAGUCCCUUCCCACACAGGCCCUCAACAGAGCUGCUUGCUUAAUGAAGUCAGCAAGGGAAAGAAAAAGACUUCAGCAAGACAGGUUCUACAAUAUUUUCAAACAAUUAUGUAUACCCCAUCACCUUUGCUGUGUUCUCUUGGUUAGAAGCCAGACACAGGCUGUGUUCAUUCUUAAGUGGAAGGGAUUGCACAAGAGCAUGAAUGCCAGGAGGUGGACUCAUGGCAGCCACUCGUAUGAGUAUUAUGAGUCUAUCUGCCACAGUAAGGAACAGUCUGCUUCUCAUGCCAUGUUUCGGGUCCAGCAGACUCCAUCCCUCUCACCUUGGCUAAGCCAAUCACCAUGUUCCAUUCUCUGGCCACAGUGAUUGGAUCAAGGUUGGGCAUACCACCAAGGUCAAGCCAACUGGGGCCCAUGUGACUCAAGUGCUCAGAAAAUAAAGUGUUGAAACAUCAAUAAAGCAGACUCACCCUUCCACAGGAGAGGAAGGGGAGAACGCUGGGAAGGGAACCCAGGAUUCAGAAACAGUGGUGCUGGAAGGUAGAUUCUGGAGUUAUUAUUUGUGUCCCAAAUUGAGCCCACCUGAGGUAGUCCCUAUUCCUGGCUUUUGAGUAAUGGACAUGUCACACUUUGGAAAUCAUUGCUCUAACCAAUUGAAUAUAUAUAUUGUGUGUUUGCCAUACUCAGGUAAAGAUUAACAUGGUGUCAGGCACAUAAACAUGACUUAUAUUAAAAGAAAAAAAGUCAAGUGCCAAAAUGAGUGGGCAUGGCACGUAAUAUGACCGAGGUUGAUAUUAUGAAUUGCAUCACAAUCUAAAGAAAAAGUAGAUUCUACCUGUUUGUCUGUAACUGUGUCAGGCUAAAUGUCUGAGUGGAUUUUCACUACAUUUGGAGAUCAUAUUUGGCAUGGCUUGACUUAAAGCAUAGAUUUUGAGUAAGGUAACUGUGAAUUCUGAUUUGCCCAGAAAAGCUCCAGUUUAGACCUGUUGUCCCAGUAUAAUUAUUACUAGUGUUUCCUUUCACUCUUUAAAGUGUCAAGUUUGGACAAUAAAUUAUAUGAUUACCCCAGCUCAGAAGUGUGUUCCAGAUUCACUUGGAAAGCCUUAGAGAGGACCAUUUCCAUUUCCAAGAGACAGCCUGUUAUCCCCUACAACUGCAGACGGGGAAGAACCCCUGUGACUGCUGAUUGAGAGAGACAUGCACGGUACGCAGUUAUUAAGAUACUGUGUACAGAACAAGCAGGGAUUCCAACUGAAUAUGCACCCAAAUUCUUAAUAAAAGAAUUAUAGGUGUUG
rnacentral:lncRNA from 1 species